GUGAAUCAUCAAAUUUUUGAACGCAAAUUGCACUCUCUUCGGAGAGUAUGCCUGUUUGUGGGUCAGCCUAAAAAAAAAUCGCCAUCGUCGCUGUUUCGUGGUGAUUUUCGUCGGCCCUUGGGUCAUCUUUAACCUUUGGGUUUUAAGCGGCUUAAAAUUUUCUCUACGAUUCCACGACCGUUUCCAAGUUUUACUUCUUAUACCUUUAAGGUAUCGAUCUUUUUUAGACGUCGCCG
rnacentral:misc_RNA from 1 species